UACAGAGGGUGCGAGCGUUAAUCGGAAUUACUGGGCGUAAAGCGUGCGUAGACGGUUAUUUAAGUCGGAUGUGAAAGCCCCGGGCUCAACCUGGGAAUUGCAUUCGAGACUGAAUAGCUAGGGUGCGGUAGAGGGAAGCGGAAUUUCCGGUGUAGCGGUGAAAUGCGUAGAUAUCGGAAGGAACAUCAGUGGCGAAAGCGGCUUCCUGGACCAGCACCGAACGUCAGGCACGAAAGCGGUGGGGAGCAAACAGG
rnacentral:rRNA from 1 species